rnacentral:rRNA from 1 species
AUUGAACGCUGGCGGCAGGCUUAACACAUGCCAGUCGAGCGAGCGGCGGACGGGUGAGUACUGUCUGGGAAACUGCCUGAUGGCGGGGGAUAACUACUGGAAACGGUAGCUAAUACCGCAUACCAUCAGAUGUGCCCAGAUGGGAUUAGCUAGUAGGUGGGGUAAUGGAUAACCUAGGCGACGAUCCCUAGCUGGUCUGAGAGGAUGACCAGCCACACUGGAACUGAGCCACGGUCCAGACUCCUACGGGAGGCAUCAGGGGUGAAGAGUGCACAAUGGGCGCAAGCCUGAUGCAGCCAUGCCGCGGGUGUGAAGAAGGCCUUCGGGUUGUAAAGCACUUUCAGCGAGGAGGCGUUACUCGCAGAAGAAGCACCGGCUAACUCCGUGCCAGCAGCCGCGGUAAUUC